rnacentral:lncRNA from 1 species
GGGAGAGGAACCGGCCCGCCCCGCCGCUCCGGGACACCGGGUGGAAAGUGAGCAUACUAGAGUGCGACAGUGUCCAAAUGAAUCAUGAACCUUAAUGAUCAUAUGGCUGCCAUGAGAAGAAAUGCAUCGUUAUCUCCAUUUGAUGUACAUGAAAGUGGAAGAAAAUCCUCUCUGGAGGCCAAACAGGAAGCCAAUGGCAGAACUGGAAUUUGGGACCCAAUCGAGUGCUCAUUCUCCUGGAUGAAACCAUUUUCCUCCAGGAAGUGCUGAGCAGCCUUGGCUUUCAUUUGCUUUGCAGUUUUGAGCAUUCAUCGUGCCUGUUCACCAUCAUCACAGCACUGGUUAUCUUAAAAAGCUCAACCAGAAGAUAAAAACCCAAAUACAUACAGUGGCUCUAUGCCUGAAGCAACAAAAGCAAAUUCUUCAUUUAAAUAGCCUUUUCAGUGGAAUGAAGAAACAGAAUGAAAUUGUAUAGUUUUGUUGUUCUAAUGCUUCCUUCUUCUUACUUCAAAACCCGUAUUUUUUCCUGAUGCCUUCUUAAGUGUACCCGCUGGGGAAGACACCACUUGUGCUAGGGAUGGCAGGGAGCUACACUCGGGACAACUGUCAGGCCAGAAGUGGUGUGACCACUUAUGAACUGGAACACUGCUGCCUAGCUGAAUGUGGGAUGGACCCUUCCAUCUGCUUUCCUCUGGUGGGAUUUGGGCACGUAGCAUAAAUCUGGUUCCUUACUUCUCUGAAGGUUAUUAGGACUUAAUUAAGGCUGGAAGCCUCCUAUGUAUGACUGAAAUGAAUGAACUUGUUCAAUGCCUGGUAUUUGAAGGGUGGAUGGGCAGAUGAAUAUGCAGUCCUUGUAAACACAUAGACUAUCCCUGGCAAACCAUGAGCAAUUUCUAUUUCCUACAGAAGAAAAAACAACGUUCAAUAAGAGAAGUGUUGCUAGUUCUGGGAAGGCAAAAGUACUCACAGAUAGAUACGAGGUUUUGUGCUUUCAAUCUCUUUUAGAUGAAGGCUGCUCAGAUAUUUGCAGGGAUAAUAGCAGGAGAAAAUGUUUGGAUAGGUAAAUCAAAAUAAUUUUCUUUCAACUGUCAUUUUCUUAAAUUAGACAAUAGAGUGCUAAUAUAUUUUAGACACAAAAAAGUACAUAAAUUGGUUUGAAAAGUCUAGAAACUAAAAGCUGAGCACUUUCAUACCAGUGCCUGAGGUCAUGCAAUUUCUUUAUAUUUUCUGACAAAAUAUGCCUCUUGGUUAAUAUAAUUUAGCUCAGUUAAACUUGUUAAAGAAUAAAGGUAGUAUAUCCUAUGAUAAUUGCUGUAUGAUGAAUGCAUGCUGAUUGUCCAUUCUUUUGCUAAAAUACCCUCCUCAGUAUGUUGUGGAGGGCAUAUUUUUUAAAGGAAUUUCAGAAAAUAGAUCAAUUUCUUGGGCUUGUCUAGAAUAUGCAUUUAUCGCUAAUUACCCAAAGCUUCAUCUUUUUGGAAGCAGUUAAUGGGGCUUGAUGUCAUAUAUGCCCCAUAGAAUUUUCAGAUGACUUUUAAAACUAGAUCCUAUGUGCUUUGAUCUGUGGGCAUUUGUGGGUAAUGUGGUUGCAUGUGGAGAAACUGGCCUUUGGUGGAGGUUGGCAAACAGCAGAACAAGUCCACUUGUGAAACACAUGCAGUGAAGUCUGGUUGAUCUCCUCCCACUUCAGCACUGACUAGCAUGUGCUUUUGCUGUCUGUCUCAUCCUAUGUUCACUUCAAAUAGUUCAUGAUGAUCAAGACACACCACUGAAUUAUCCAGAGAAUUUGGUGUUUCUUGUGCCAUUAGACACUGCUCGAAGUUUAGAUGACUGCUCACCUUCUCUACCUGCCCUAAGUUAUCACUGUAUUACACCAGUGUUUUCCAUUUUGCAUCCUCUCUCCAUGAGAACUCUGAACAGCAGUGAGAACAAUCAUCUGGGAGCUUCUGGUAACUGGUACAGUAUUUUAAAGAGUCCCAAAAUUAAAUGCCUAAAUAGUUGGAUUUUAAGUUCAUGCAGCCUGUGUAUAAAGACUGAAAGCAGAGAUGUUAGCAUAUGUGUGGCAUAUGAUUAAAUCUCUUUAAUGACCCCCACACACUUCACAGAGUGGAGAAGCCCCUUAGAGCAGUGGAAAUACUUGCAAUUACAAGGCGAAAUUACUGUAAUUGUAAACCCCAAGAGCUUGCAGCCUACUUGCACAUAGAGAAGACACCAAGGAAGGCAAUUGUCCUACACUAUGAACUUCACAACUUAAACAAGGCUAAUGGGCAAGUUGAGCAGAAUUAUAAAAUUAUUCUAGCCUGAGGAACAUUGUCUGUUAAUCUCUUUUGUUUUGGUUUUUAUUUCACAAAUGAAUAAAACCUCACUUCCUUG